AUGAGUCUUUCUGUGCUGAUCUGCAUGAGAGGUUUCUUAAAGGGAAGUGAAACAAUGUGUGAUGUCCGUCCCACCCUAACGGUGCUGCCCCCCUCCAGUGAGGAGCUGGACCCGGAGCUGAAGCAGGGCAAGGCCACGCUUAUAUGUCUGGCCAACAAGGGCUUCCCCUCAGACUGGAGUCUGGCCUGGAAGGUGGACGGCAGCAGCAGCAGCUUGGAGCAGAGCAGGAGCCCCGCGGUGCUGCAGAAGGACGGCCACUACAGCUGGAGCAGCACCCUGAGGCUCACUGCAGACCAGUGGAGGAAGGUGGGCUCUGUGACCUGUGAGGCCACCCAGGGCUCCCAGACUCCACUCUCAGAGACACUGAGGAGAGACCAGUGU